CUACGGGGGGCUCCAGUGGGGAAUAUUGGGCAAUGGGCGCAAGCCUGACCCAGCAACGCCGCGUGAGGGAAGAAGGUUUUCGGAUUGUAAACCUCUGUCCUUGGGGACGAAAAAAAUGACGGUACCCAAGGAGGAAGCUCCGGCUAACUACGUGCCAGCAGCCGCGGUAAUACGUAGGGAGCGAGCGUUGUCCGGAAUUACUGGGCGUAAAGGGUGCGUAGGCGGCGUAUUAAGUCAGGUGUGAAAUAUUCGGGCUCAACCCGAAGGGUGCAUUUGAAACUGGUAUGCUUGAGUGUGAGAGAGGAAAGUGGAAUUCCUAGUGUAGCGGUGAAAUGCGUAGAUAUUAGGAGGAACACCAGUGGCGAAGGCGACUUUCUGGCUCAUAACUGACGCUGAGGCACGAAAGCGUGGGUAGCAAACAGGAUUAGAUACCCUCGUAGUC
rnacentral:rRNA from 1 species